rnacentral:rRNA from 1 species
UGAGUAACACGUAUGCAACCUAGCCUGUAAGCGGGGAAGUAACCCGUUCGAAAGAACGGACUAAUACCGACAUAAUACUAAAUUAACUGCAUGGUAAUUAUUUAAACAUUUAUGGCUUACAGAUGGGCAUGCGCAUGAUUAGCUAGUUGGAGAGGUAACGGCUCCCCAAGGCAACGAUCAUUAGGGGUUCUGAGAGGAAGGUCCCCCCACACUGGUACUGAGACACGGACCAGACUCCUACGGGAGGCAGCAGUGAGGAAUAUUGGUCAAUGGACGAGAGUCUGAACCAGCCAAGUCGCGUGCAGGAAGAAUUGUCCUAUGGAUUGUAAACUGCUUUUGCAGGGGAAUAAAGUGCAUCACGUGUGAUGUUUUGUAUGUACUCUGCGAAUAAGGAUCGGCUAACUCCGUGCCAGCCGCCGC